rnacentral:rRNA from 1 species
GACGAACCGUGCGAACGUUGUUCGGAAUCACUGGGCUUAAAGGGCGCGUAGGCGGGCUAUCAAGUCCGGGGUGAAGUCCUCCAGCUCAACUGGAGAACGGCCUCGGAUACUGAUGGUCUCGAGGGGGAUAGGGGCACACGGAACUGUGGGUGGAGCGGUGAAAUGCGUUGAUAUCCAUAGGAACUCCGGUGGCGAAAGCGGUGUGCUGGAUCCCCUUCUGACGCUGAGGAGCGAAAGCGUGGGGAGCGAACAGG